rnacentral:rRNA from 1 species
UACGUAGGUGGCGAGCGUUGUCCGGAUUUACUGGGCGUAAAGAGCGCGCAGGCGGUCGUACAAGUCGCGUGUGAAAGCCCCUGGCUCAACUGGGGAGGGUCACGCGAUACUGUUCGACUCGAAGGCAGGAGAGGGAAGUGGAAUUCCCGGUGUAGUGGUGAAAUGCGUAGAUAUCGGGAGGAACACCAGUGGCGAAGGCGACUACCUGGCCUGUUCUUGACGCUGAGGCGCGAAAGCUAGGGGAGCAAACGGG